rnacentral:tRNA from 1 species
UCCCUGGUGGCUCUGAGGCGAAAGCAUCUGCCUGCAGUACAGGAGGCCCGGGUUCGAUUCCUGGGUCAGGAAG